AAAACAUAUUCACUCAUCAGCAUAAAAACUCAGCAGCAACGUAUGAAUUUCUCUCCUUGUUUCGAUUCCACGCACUUAUCCAUCUCUCAUCUCAAUUCGAAUGUUCAUAAAUCCAUACGAAAAACAUCAGCAAUCAAAUACAAAUCAGAGCAUAAUCCUUGUCACUGAAUCCCUAUUCCAAUUUGAGUUCACCAUUCGCCUUCAACAAUUUUGGUCCACAUCCGUUGUCAAGUCGUAACCAUGUUUGUGCGCCGCUUCGGAGAGAAUCGGGGAUGAACGAAGCAAUAACAUGUUUUAUUGAUGCCAGAGAUGGAAGAAAAACUUACCGGAUUAGAGCUCCGACACGGUGGCUCUCCGAAAAAAAAAAGUAUCGAGUUUUCUCUCUUCUUUGUUGUGCUUUAACUUGAUGUACACUUCUUCCUCUUCUCAUGAAUUCUUCAACUUUGUGCUAUGAAUUGAGAGAGAGGAUUGUGAGGAUAUCAGGGAGUAAGAAUCGAAGUUUGGAGAAUGAAUCAGAGCCAUAUCAGGAGUGAAAUGAAAAUCUGAACAAAUGAAUGGGCCUCUGAGAAUUUGCAGUGAAACAAAAAUCUAAUAUAAUGCAAAAUGAUAGCCUCUUCAAAAAUUGCAGCGAAAAGAGCUUAAAUACCAUCUCGAUUUAAUAGAGUGAAAACUCUGUUAAAUAUGAGAAUCUUUAGGGUUAUAUGAGUUUCUGUCAUGACUUUUCUGCUGUGUUAUGAAGAGUUUUUCUUGCGCUGAAAAGGAGUUCUGCAGGUUGAAUGAAGGAGAUCCAGGUUGCAAUGUUGAAGUGAGCUUUAUGCUAUGAGCUGCUUGUGAUAAGGACUCGUUGGAAUCAAAUUGGGAAUUUGGGGAUUGAUGCUUGGACUGUAGUAAACAAUUGUCAUGGAAUAUAAUGAAUUGGAUUGGAAUUGUGCGUGGUUUAUGGAAUUUGAAUUGAAUGUGUUUAUUGUAUUGAAUGUUGUAUGGAGUUAAUUAUGAAUGAAUGUGUUAUGGGAUGCUAUUGAAUGUUUGGAUAUUUAUUGAAAGUUAAUUGAAUGUUAUGUUAUUCUUUCUUUGAA